rnacentral:lncRNA from 1 species
CACCCAGAACUGGCCGCUCAGUUUUCAGGUUUUAAACUGCCGUUGACUUGAAGGUUGAGUUUCACUGGGGACCUACCUCUAUCUGCCUAGUAAUCUGUGUCUCCUGUAGCUAUCAUCAUCACUGAUUUUCUACGUACAGAUUUCAAUUCCAAACAAAAAUAUAUGAGAACGUUCAUUUCUCCAUACAACUGCAUCAUGGAUGGAGAUGGAGCCCAUUAUUUGAAGCAAACUAACACAGGAACAGCAAAGCAAAUACCAUAUAUUCUCACUUAUAAAUGGCAGCUGAACAACGAGGACACAUGGACACAAACAGCAGAACAACAGACACCAGGAGCUACUUGAAGGGACCGGCGUGAGAGUAUGGAGGCUGAAGCCAUAGAAAGGAGAAAUUAUUCCAGCUGAGGCCAAAACAUGAACCAAGGCUGGGUCAUUGGCCUUAUCCCGCACCGAAGUUGAAACUUACACCAUCUGUUCACAUCAUCAGUUCUUCUGGUUCUCAUGCUUUUGAACUUCAACUGGCACAAUUCCACUGGCUCUCCUUAGUCUCCAGGUUGCAGAUGGCAGAUUAUAAAUCUCCUUAGCCUCCACCUUUAUAAUCCUAACUAUUACUGACACCUCUUUGAGGACAAAGGAAGUAGCUUUCUGCAAGCCAAAAAGACCUCAGAAAAACAACAAAUCUUCCAAACUCUUGAUUUUGACUUUUUGCCUCCAGAAUUGUGAAGAAAUAAAUAUCUGUUAUUUAAGUAAAAA